rnacentral:lncRNA from 1 species
AUCACUGUUCUAGGCCUUAAACCCAAAACUGCUGAAAUUUUAUUACUUGCACUAAAAUAAAACUUGACAGAAAUAAAAUGAUUAAACCUUGGGCCAACUUGACUCUCUUAUUGAACAUAAAAUAAAAAAAUUGGAAAUAAAAAAUCAAAUGAAAAUGAAAAAAAUUUCUUUUGGGCUACUUAGAAAAUUUCUUCUCAAAAAAUUACAUCAAAU